UACGGAGGGUGCAAACGUUGCUCGGAAUCAUUGGGCGUAAAGAGCUCGUAGGCGGCUUGUCACGUCGGUUGUGAAAGCCCGGGGCUUAACCCCGGGUCUGCAGUCGAUACGGGCAGGCUAGAGUUCGGUAGGGGAGAUCGGAAUUCCUGGUGUAGCGGUGAAAUGCGCAGAUAUCAGGAGGAACACCGGUGGCGAAGGCGGAUCUCUGGGCCGAUACUGACGCUGAGGAGCGAAAGCGUGGGGAGCGAACAGG
rnacentral:rRNA from 1 species